AUUGAACGCUGGCGGCGUGCUUAACACAUGCAAGUCGUGCGAGAAAGGGGACUUCGUUCCCUGAGUAGAGCGGCGCACGGGUGAGUAACGCGUGGAUCAUCUGCCCAAAUAUUCGGGAUAACGGCGGGAAACUGUCGCUAAUACCGCAUACGCUUCAAUUUCGGUUGGAGGAAAGGCGGCCUCUGCUUGGAAGCUGUCGCAUUUGGAUGAGUCCGCGUCCCAUUAGCUUGUUGGUGGGGUAACGGCCUACCAAGGCUACGAUGGGUAGCUGGUCUGAGAGGAUGAUCAGCCACACUUGAACUGAAACACGGUCCAGACUCCUACGGGAGGCAGCAGUGGGGAAUUUUGCGCAAUGGGGGAAACCCUGACGCAGCGACGCCGUGUGAGGGAAGAAGGCUUUCGGGUCGUAAACCUCUGUCGGGAAGGAAGAACCUCCCGGGUCCGAAUAGGGCUCGGGACUGACGGUACUUCCAA
rnacentral:rRNA from 1 species